rnacentral:misc_RNA from 1 species
CGGCGACCUUAAGAGUGUUAGAGGUAUCAUUUGUGAAGUUGGUGCUGGUGCUUCUGCAGGUGCCAUUGCUGCUACAUUUAUGUGUCCAUUGGAUGUUAUUAAGACAAGACUGCAAGUACAUGGUCUGCCUCAGGUUUCUCAAUCUGCUCGUCAAGGUAGUGUCAUUGUCACAAGCUUACAGAAUAUACUAAGAACAGAAGGUUUCAG